UACGUAGGGUGCGAGCGUUGUCCGGAAUUAUUGGGCGUAAAGGGCUCGUAGGCGGUUUGUCGCGUCGGGAGUGAAAACCAUGGGCUUAACUCAUGGCUUGCUUCCGAUACGGGCAGACUAGAGGUAUGCAGGGGAGAACGGAAUUCCUGGUGUAGCGGUGAAAUGCGCAGAUAUCAGGAGGAACACCGGUGGCGAAGGCGGCUUACUGGUCCGGAACUGACGCUGAGGUGCGAAAGCGUGGGGAGCAAACAGG
rnacentral:rRNA from 1 species